AGUAUUUAUAUAUCCGGAGAAAGUUCUAUAGUAAAUUCUGGAGAUCUUCGGUAUUUAAAUGUCAACAUCGAUUUGUUUAUUUAUUGCUUAGCUUAUCGUAACUGACUCAAUAACAAAUCUAAUCAUGUUGUGCACAGAAAAAAUAUUCUCAUUAUGUAUUUUCCCUACAUUAUAGUUAACUAUUACAUUUGAAUUCAAGCUGUAAAUUCAAUAUUAUCAAGUAAUUACU
rnacentral:lncRNA from 2 species